UUUGUAACAUUUAUACAAAAGCUGUACAAAAUGGAAAAUGAAAAAAAGAAAGAAUGAAAAAAAUAAUCACAAGUAUCGUAGAAUUGUGGUAAAGCUCAGAAAUAUUUCCACUUAGAUAAAACAAAAAAAACAUUCGUCAUCAAGAUACGUUAUGAAGUAAUAAAUUGACAUUUCUAUUGAUGUCUAAAAUUGCCUUUAUGCUGUAUCGAGUCAAGGUACAAAAAAAAAAAAAAAAAAAAAAAAAAAACAAUUCUAUUUCAUACAUUAAACAGUACUUUACUAUCGUGGAUGGUCAAUUACUUGAUAAUUAUUUAAAUUAUUUUAACUAUCACCCAUUAUUAUGUAUAGUCUUCACCAUUUUAACGUUAUUCAUAAAUGUAUAUCUCAUCAGCGUCUAAUUGUAAAGAACGUAAAACUUUUUUCCACUUUUUAAAAAAUAGUUCUAAUCAUUCAAAACUUCGAGAAAUUCUUUUUUCUGUUGUUACAUUUAUUGAAUAUUUCAAUUUUUCUUUCUUAUAUUUUUGGGUUUGUACAAGGUCGAACAACGUUGCAGAAAAGUUAUUUGGUCAAAUGAAUUUUUUAAAGAAUAACAAAAAUUGCGAAAAGUUUUUAGGUCUAAUUUUUUAAUAUUUUUUAGAUGUAAAAAAUGUGUAUUUGAUAUAUUGCAAUUAUUUGAAAGUAGACCGGUUGGAAAUUAAUCUUCCUCAAUAGAUACUAUGUGCAGUGUUAUGUACCAUAAUGAUCAUUGCGUCUAAUUGAAAAAUGGCCUAUCGGAGGCCUAAAGAUAUUUCACCGCAAAAAUAUAAUUUUAGGAUAUUUUAUAAUAACAUAUUAUAUUCACACACCAAAUUAUCGAUUUUAUUAAUAUCACCACAAUGGUAGCGUGAUGAUACUAACGAUAAUUCUCGUUACUAUAACUAUUUAUUGAUCACAAAAGGUAAAAAGAGAAAGAAGAUAGGAUGAAAACACUAAAAUUAUUCAGAAUGUUUGUAAUUUUCUAGAGGCUGCUUGCUUUUGAAUUCUCAUAUUACUUAAUUAUCAAUUAAUUAAUUAUUAUUAUUAUUAUUCAUUACGAUUCAUCAAGAAAAUUAAAAAACGCAACUAUUGAUGUACAUAAUUAACACACUACUUUGUAAGUAAUUAGUUUAAUAGCCGCUAUUAAACAUAUUAUAUUAUAUUUAUAUAUAUUAUAUAUAUGAUCAUCCCGAAUCAAGAAAACAAAUAAUCAACAAAAGGAAAAAAACAUUCAUAACAAGUGUGUGAUAAUAUUUAUAACAAUUCAAUACCUAAUAAACGUACGUAAUGUUCUUUUGAAUAAAAUCUACUAAUUUUUUUCAUCUAAUAAUCUUCUUUAUUAUCAAAUACAUAUUUUUGAACUAUCGACGAUGCGAUUAGAAUGGCGAUUUUUGAUAUACAAACCUAUAUCAACUAUCGAGAUUCGACUUUAAAAUCGAGUGAAAAAAGUUGAAGGUUCAUUUUCUUAACCUAAACAAAGCGUCCUUCGCUUUCUAUACAAUUAAUAAUAGAGUACCGUAUCGUCGAAUUAUUUAUGAAAAGAAUUACAAAGAGAUUUUGAUUAUUUAUCAUAAUAUCGAGCAAAAGUCGCGAAAGAUUUAUAAUUUAUUUGUUCGGUCACUACGUUCAUCGUACCCUCUGUGGAAUCGGAAGUUUUGUAAACAAAUACCGCAAUCAACGAAAACGCAUUUUAAAGAUCACAGCUUGUUCAACUUCACCAACAUAUUUCAUUAAAAAUACUUGUACUGUACGUCACCUGAUCCGAACAUGUUUAAAUAUAAUUUUGGCGCAGUAUGUCAAUGUAAUUAUUAAUUUACAAAAAAUAUUUAAGAAUGAGUGAAGCUGUUGUUACUAAUGAAAUGGUCGAAUUAAAUGGAGGGUCAGAACAACCCGCCCUUAAUGGAGAGGCAGAAAAUAACAAAUCACCGAGAAGCAUAGAGGAUAAGGUCCCCAAUUCAGUUAACGACAAUGACCCAAAAAAAGGCAUAGCUGCAGUUGUCGCAAGCAGCGGUUCAGCAACUGCUAGUAGAGGUAAAAAACGGAAGAAGGCUCCAAGAGACGCUACAGCACCCAAGCAACCAUUGACUGGAUAUUUUCGCUUCUUAAAUGAUCGUCGGGAAAAAGUUAGAACUGAUAAUCCUACGAUGCCUUUUGCCGAAAUUACCAAAGUACUGGCAGCGGAAUGGAGUUCCCUACCAGUAGAUCAAAAACAGCAAUAUCUGGACGCAGCUGAACAGGACAAAGAGCGUUAUAAUAGAGAAGUGAACGACUACAAGCAAACCGAAGCGUAUCGCCUAUUCAGUGAAAAGCAGAAUACCGAGAAACACAGUGAAAAUAAGAAAGAAAGAAAUGGAACUGAGCCAACUCUGGAGCAGCAUGAAGUGCAACCGGAGAAAGAUCACGAUUUUUCCGGAUUUGAUAUUCCGAUUUUCACCGAAGAAUUUCUGGACCAUAACAAAGCAUGUGAAGCUGAGCUUCGUCAGCUCCGCAAAGCGACUUCAGACUAUGAGGCACAAAAUGCAGUGCUACAACGUCACGUGGACAGUUUGCAUGCAGCUGUAAAUCGAUUAGAGUCUGAAACCAGCCAACAACGUGCAACUAAUCAGUCACUCCAGCGUCAUCUCGAUUCAUUGCGAUCUCAACUGGCGGGCAGUUUUGCCACUAUACCUCUUCAAGGCACACACGACGGAGCCACUCUGCAGAAUAUCGAUGGUUACGUUGAGAGGCUAGAAUCUUUACUUAGUAGCAAUGUAGACCCUGGGUUACGAAAUACAGUUCGUGCUGCAAUUUCUCGUCUGGAGUUGAUUGGAUGACGUUCACCUCCACCUUCAACUGCGGCGGCCAUUCCCAUCGUUACAAACUCUACAUCUACAUUAAAACAUCACCGCUCUCGUCAUUCCCAUCGGAAAUGAUCCAUCAAUCGAGUAGCAACGUGCAACCACAAGGCUUCCAACAUUCGUGGGCUUCCCGUCAGAGCUGAACCAAUUUCGGUACGCGAAUUUCUUAACUGAAUGCAUUUGUUAAUUAUAUUUAGGAUUACGACAAUCAGAGCGUUUACUU